ACCUGAUGAUGUGGGUAUUGACGAAGUAGGUUCCUGAAAUGUUCCUAGGUUUCAAGGAAAAGUUCCCCAUCCGUUUGUGUAAAACUUGUGAUUGCCCUUUGCAGCU